GGGGAAACUGUCUGGGAAAAGGAAACCUGGGAACUCAGAAACGUUUCAAUGUUUGAACCUGAACUCAUGGAAGCAAGAAAAAAAUCACCAUACAGAAGAGGAAAACAAACAGAUUAGAAUGUUCCAUCAAGAGAGAAGCUCGCACGUCACCUUUUGUAGAAAGAUUGAUAUUGAGGGAUUCGGAAAUGGCUAAUGGAAAUUGAAUGCAAGUUACAUUUGAAAGAGAAGAAACUAAAGCAGAAUUCUAUAAUAAAUACGGAUGAUCCAUUUUCAACUGAACAUCAAUAGACCACAGUACUUUUGAGAUGGUAUGCAGUUAAAUACAAUAGCUGUCCAAAGAGUUUUGAAGAUUCAGGUGCAUGGAUAUUUAAAAUGCCACAAACAGGUGCAGAAAAUAAUCAUGAAGACUAACAGAAUGCUAGCUUUUAUAUCUUUCGGUUCAAGGGGCUGAAUUGUCUAUGUCCGUGUUCCUAUACAUCACAGAUUGCAACUUCCUCCAAUAUUAUGUCAUAUAAGAUAAGUAGGAAGAAUAGGCGACAACAGCUCCACAGCUCCUCCACAAUAAUCUUCAACACUGGUGCCCAGCAAGGCUGCACUCUUUUUACUGUACUCUUUUUACAACUCAUGACUAUGUGGCCAUGUUCAGCUCUAACUCCAUUUAUAAAUUUGCUGAUGACGUAGAUGGUCAGAGCACAAACAACAAAGAGUCAGAGUACAGGAAAGAGAUAACGAGCUUAGUAGCAUGGUGUAAAGACUUUUCCUGGUGCAAUCUUUCCCUCAAUGUCAGCAAAAUGAAGGAGCUGGUCAUUGACUUCAAGAAGUGGAGUAGAGGACAUCGCCCUGUCUGUUUCAAUGAUGCUGAGGUGGAGGUGGUUGAGAACUCCAAGUUUGUAGGAGUAAAUUUCAUCAACAGUCUGUCUGGUCCAUUCACAUUGACAGUACAAACAAGAAAGUACACCAAUGCCCCUACUUCUUCAGAAGGCUAAGGAAAAUCAGCAUGUUUACAAUGACUGAUUGUUAUAGAUGAACCAUAGAAAGUACUCUAUUUGGAUGGAUCACAGCUUGGUAUGGCAUUGCUCUGCCCAAGACAGCCAGAAAUUACCGAGGGUUGUGAACGCAACUCACUCCAUCACAAAAACCAGCCUUCCUUCCAUUGAUUUCGUCUAUACUUCUUGCUGCCUCGAGGAAGCAGCCAAUAUAAUCAGAGAAUCCUCCCACCAUGGUUAUACUCUCUUAUACCGUCUUCCAUUGGGCAGGAAAAUUAGGAAAGCUUGAAAACAAGUAUUAACAGAUUCACAAACAGCUUCUUCCCCACUAUUAUCAGACUUAUGAACAGACCUCUCAUAUAUUAGAGUUGAUCUUUCUCUGUACCUUUACACUAUAUUCUGCAUUCUGUUCCAUUACGCUGAUGUACUUAUAUCAGGUAUGACUUGUUUGGGUAGCACGCAAAACAAUACUUUUCACUAUCUCAUUAUGUGUGAUUAUAAUAAAUCAAAUCAAAACAUAGAAGUUUUUCUGCAGCUAUACAAGUCCUGAUUGGACCCUCCUUGGAGUUCUGUGAGCAUAUCUGGGCACCUCACCUUAGGAUGGAUGUAUUCACCUGGGAGGGAGUAUAAUGUAGGUUUGCAAGACUGAUAUCUGGACUUCUUGAGUAAUGAGGAGAGAUUAAACAAAUUAGGUCUUUUUUUAACAAUUUAGAAGGCUAAGGUGUGAUCUAAUCAAAGUCUUCAAGAUCUUAAAUACAUAGUGUAUUUCCACUGGUUAAGGACUCGAAACUUAGGGAGCAUAGACUGAGAAUUAAGGUCAGACCAUUCAUGGGAAGCACUUCUACACAAAAAGUGGGAGAGGCUUCGAACUUUUUCACAAAUGGCAGUGGAUGCAGGAUCAGUUGUUAAUUUUAAAUCUGAAAAAAAUGAUUUUUUGUUAAGCAAAGAUAUUAAAGGAUAUGGGCCCAAUAAAGGUAUAUGGAGUUAAGCUACAGAUCAACCGUGAUCUUGUUACAUGGCAGAACAGGUUCAAGGGGCUGAAUAGUCUACGUCCCUGUUCCUAUACAUCACAGAUUGCAACUUCCUCGAAUAUUAUGUUAGGCAAAUAGGAACUCACAGUGUAGAAAGAAAAUGGCCCUGCUCCCUGUGGCAUAGUUGACUUGGUAAAAUUGCCACUUGAAUGCCACAUAACAUUCUCAAUUUGUCUUCAAAUUAUUGGAUAAUAGGAAAUAUUGAAAAAUUUAUAAAUGUCAGAACAAAUAAUCCUAAUUAUUAUAAAAUUUAGAACC